rnacentral:rRNA from 1 species
UACGGAGGGGACUAGCGUUGUUCGGAAUUACUGGGCGUAAAGCGCACGUAGGCGGAUUUGUAAGUCAGGGGUGAAAGUCCCGGGGCUCGAACCUCGGAACUGCCUUUGAUACUGCAAAUCUCGAGUCCGGAAGAGGUGAGUGGAAUUCCUAGUGUAGAGGUGAAAUUCGUAGAUAUUAGGAAGAACACCAGUGGCGAAGGCGGCUCACUGGUCCGGUACUGACGCUGAGGUGCGGAAAGCGUGGGGAGCA